GCAUAUAUGGGCCAACUGUGUAAC
rnacentral:miRNA from 1 species